rnacentral:rRNA from 1 species
UUGAACGCUGUCGGCAUGCUUUACACAUGCAAGUCGGACGGCAGCACAGAGAAGCUUGCUUCUUGGGUGGCGCGUGGCGAACGGGUGAGUAAUAUAUCGGAACGUACCGAGUAAUGGGGGAUAACUAAUCGAAAGAUUAGCUAAUACCGCAUAUUCUCUGAGGAGGAAAGCAGGGGACCUUCGGGCCUUGCGUUAUUCGAGCGGCCGAUAUCUGAUUAGCUAGUUGGUGGGGUAAAGGCCUACCAAGGCGACGAUCAGUAGCGGGUCUGAGAGGAUGAUCCGCCACACUGGGACUGAGACACGGCCCAGACUCCUACGGGAGGCAGCAGUGGGGAAUUUUGGACAAUGGGCGCAAGCCUGAUCCAGCCAUGCCGCGUGUCUGAAGAAGGCCUUCGGGUUGUAAAGGACUUUUGUCAGGGAAGAAAAGGCUGUUGCUAAUAUCAAUAGCUGAUGACGGUACCUGAAGAAUAAGCACCGGCUAACUACGUG